UUACUGAGGAUUAUGUUUAAAAUCCUUGAUAUUGUAUGUAUUUGAAGUUUAAGAGAGGAAUUUAAUACUUUACAACAAACAUACUUUAUAGCCCCUGACAUAAUGUAAUCAUACUACAAGACUAAAUACUUGUUCCACGAUUGCUGGUCUUGUACGUAACGUUUUUGUUCUGAUUUUGGAAUUGUCCUCAAGACAGUCUCAUUCAACAUUUAUUCCUUUAUUUAUUAAUUUGUUUUUAAACAACUAAAAAACACAGUAAAAUUUUACAAAUUGAGUUUCAUUUAUUGGUAUGAUUUUGUUAUUUUAUAGUAUCACUUUUUAUAUGGCAAAGAAGCUAUGAUUUGCUUUUAAUAGGUUUAUUGUAAGUAUGCCAUUAACUUUUUCAUUUUGAAAACUGUAUUUCCUGUUAGAAUAAAGCUACAUAAAUUUCUUUUUUAGGAAAGAAUACCCACCUCAUGUCCAAAAAGUUGAAAUUAAUCCUGUAAGGUUAAGUCGGCUCCAAGGUGUUGAACGCAUAAUGAAGAAAACAGAAGAGUCCGAAUCACAAGUGGAACCUGAAAUUAAGAGGAAAGUACAACAGAAACGGCACUGUAGUACCUAUCAGCCUACUCCUCCUCUAUCUCCUGCUUCAAAAAAAUGUUUAACCCAUUUAGAGGAUUUGCAAAGAAAUUGCAGACAAGCUAUUACUUUGAAUGAGUCUACUGGACCAUUAUUAAGAACGUCAAUUCAUCAGAAUUCUGGAGGACAGAAGUCACAAAACACAGGAUUAACAACCAAGAAGUUUUAUGGCAACAGUGUGGAAAAGGUUCCAAUUGAUAUUAUUGUGAAUUGUGAUGACAGUAAACACACUUAUUUACAGACUAAUGGAAAAGUCAUUUUACCUGGGGCAAAAAUACCCAAAAUCACAAACUUGAAAGAAAGGAAAACAAGUUUGUCAGAC
rnacentral:sRNA from 1 species